rnacentral:lncRNA from 1 species
GGAUGCGCAUGAAAGAACGUGCCACAGAAAAUGAGACACCUCAAUGAGGGUUGUGGAAAAUGCACUAGAAUCAACAAACAUGGGGACUAAUUCAACUCGGAUAUCACGUCUUCAGAGAAGUUUUUCCUGCCCUCCUCUCCCUGUAGAAUUAAGUAUUCUUCCACUGUGCCACCCUCUAACUUGUGCUCAUAUCUUCCUCUAUUGUAGUUAUGUGUUCACAUCCCUGUUGUUUUUGUACCGGCUUCUCCCAAAGGGAGACAUUUAGUCUUAUUCUUCCUGGUAACUUUAGCACAGACCUGGCAGAUUGUUGACACUCAACGAAUGUUUAUCGACUCAAAUGCGUUCAGUUGAACAUUGACCUUUGAUCAACUCUGGGAAAAGUCUGCAAAGCUAGUUAGGACAUUCAGAAAUUCAUUUCAUUUCAAUCCUAACUAAAUAAAUUAUUGAAGUCUCAGAACUUCUCAGUACUUGAUUUAGACACAUAGAAACUUGGGUAAAUAACA